rfam:Felis catus isolate Cinnamon breed Abyssinian chromosome C2, whole genome shotgun sequence.
GCCUGGGUGGCUCAGUCGGUUGAGCAUCCGACUUCGGCUCAGGUCAUGAUCUCACGGUUCGUGGGUUCGAGCCCCGCAUCGGGCU